rnacentral:tRNA from 1 species
AGUCUUGUAUUCAAUAUAUGAUAUUAAAUUGCAAGUUUAAAGGAAUUAAUAAAAAUUAAUUAAGACUU